rnacentral:misc_RNA from 1 species
UGAGUUGUUCCGAACUUGCUCUCGAAGCGGGCUCCCCGCAUAUGUGUGCGGCCAACCGUUUCGGAGCUUGUUUUUUGAGUGUCCCGCCCGAUGCACAAAAUUAGCUUGGGCGGUGUGAUGAAUGGGUUGGUGCCUGUGUUGCUACUCUUUUUGGGAGAAUGUUUGUUUUGUGACUACGGCAUGUCAUGUUGCCUUCGAUUAUGAUUUUGAGAAAGUUGCGUGGGCUAUUGAAACAUCGGCUAUGUUUGGGAGCGAUUGAUGGGUCUUGACUCGUCCGCAGCUCGCAUCAUAUGAUAUGAGCAGCUCUUUCGGAUAUGGUGGCUAUGUGGGUUCUUGCGGUCCUCUUCGGUCUGCAUGCGACCUUGUAGUACACCCGUAACUGUUCAUCGUGCGGUUGGAUCUUGUGCCAUCUUUGCGUUCCCGCUUUUGCUCUCAUGCCGGAGCAAAGGCGGGGCGUGGGGAUGCAGAUGCUGGAUAAUGGGGGCGGUGCAGUACGUGUGGGAGUUCUAUGACACAUUAGUGAUUGCUGUUGCGUGCGUGUGUAUUGGCAUUCUGUCCGGGAGUGCCUUAGCAGCUCGCAGGCUCACGUUUUUGACUUUGCUACCUGGUUGAUCCUGCCAGUAUC